rnacentral:rRNA from 1 species
GAUGAACGCUGGCGGCGUGCCUAAUACAUGCAAGUCGAGCGGUAAGGCCACUUCGGUGGUACACGAGCGGCGGACGGCUGAGUAACACGUAGGAACGUACCCCAAAUUGAGGGAUAAGCACCAGAAAUGGCGUCUAAUACCGCAUGUGAUCUUCGGAUUAAAGCUACGGCGGAUUGGGAACGGCCUGCGCAUGAUUAGUUUGUUGGGGAGGUAAUGGCUCACCAAGACUACGAUCAUUAGCUGGUCUGAGAGGAUGAUCAGCCAGACUGGGACUGAGAACGGCCCAGACUCCUACGGGAGGCAGCAGUGGGGAAUAGUGGACAAUGGGCGAAAGCCUGAUCCAGCAAUGCCGCGUGAGUGAUGAAGGCCUUAGGGUUGUAAAGCUCUUUUACCCGGGAUGAUAAUGACAGUACCGGGAGAAUAAGCUCCGGCUAACUCCGUGCCAGCCGCCGCAGUAA